UCGGGCCUUGCGUGCUCGCCAGAGAAAACCAAAACUCUUUUUAUUAAUGUCGUCUGAGUACUAUAUAAUAGUUAAAACUUUCAACAACGGAUCUCUUGGUUCUGGCAUCGAUGAAGAACGCAGCGAAAUGCGAUAAGUAAUGUGAAUUGCAGAAUUCAGUGAAUCAUCGAAUCUUUGAACGCACAUUGCGCCCCUUGGUAUUCCGGGGGGCAUGCCUGUUCGAGCGUCAUUUCAACCCUCAAGCUUAGCUUGGUAUUGAGUCCAUGUCAGCAAUGGCAGGCUCUAAAAUCAGUGGCGGCGCCGCUGGGUCCUGAACGUAGUAAUAUCUCUCGUUACAGGUUCUCGGUGUGCUUCUGCCAAAACCCAAAUUUUUCUAUGGUUGACCUCGGAUCAGGUAGGGAUACCCGCUGAACUUAAGCAUAUCAAUAAGCGGAGGA
rnacentral:rRNA from 1 species